GAAGCAGUAUGGCUUGAAAAUAUCAACAACAUUUGAUUAUGAUUCUCCGAGAGAUUUCUUCGGUCAUGGGACUCAUACAUCAUCAACAAUAGCCGGCAGUCGUGUUCAAAAUGCUAAUUACUUCGGCUACGCUGAAGGGACUGCAAUUGGAGUUGCACCAAUGGCGAGGAUUGCAAUGUACAAAAUAGCGUUCUACAAUGAUACUCUUAAGGCAGCAGCUGUUGAUGUUUUGGCUGGCAUGGAUCAAGCCAUAGCUGACGGUGUAGAUGUCAUGUCAUUGUCCCUGGGUUUCCCAGAGACAACAUUUGAUGAGAAUCCAAUAGCCAUUGGAGCUUUUGCAGCAUUGAAGAAAGGAAUUUUUGUUGCCUGUGCAGCAGGAAAUUCAGGACCACGUCCAUACUCCAUACUAAAUGGAGCACCUUGGAUUACUACAGUUGCUGCAGGAACUGUUGACAGAGAGUUUGCAGCCUACGUCACCCUUGGCAAUGAAGAGCUAUCAGUUCUUGGAAAAUCUGUGUACCCGGAGAAUCUGUUUGUCUCCAGGGAACCUAUAUACUUCGGAUAUGGAAAUAGAUCCAAAGAAAUUUGUGAAGGUAACUCAACAGACAUGUUAAGAGAUCGUAAAACGUAUAUUAUCCACAUGGACAAGUCGGCAAUGCCAGCUCCAUUUUCCACCCACCACCACUGGUACAUGUCCAUUCUUUCAUCCCUUUCUUCACCUGAUGGUGAUGCCCCAACCCAUCUCUACACCUACAACCAUGUCAUGGAUGGAUUCAGUGGCGUGUUAUCGCAGACGCACCUCGACAAACUCCAGAAAAUGCCAGGUCACCUUGCCACGUACCAGGAAACAUUUGGCCACCUGCACACCACCCACACCCCAAAAUUUCUCGGCCUAAAGAAACAAGCUGGGUUAUGGCCAGCUGCAGGUUUUGGUAGUCACGUUAUUGUGGGUGUUAUUGAUACUGGAGUUUGGCCAGAGAGUCCGAGCUUUAAAGAUGACGGCAUGCCCCCAGUGCCUGAGCGAUGGCGCGGCGCCUGUGAAGUGGGUGUUGAGUUUAACGCUUCACAUUGCAACAGAAAACUGAUAGGUGCACGUUCAUUCAACAAAGGGUUGAAGCAGUAUGGCUUGAAAAUAUCAACAACAUUUGAUUAUGAUUCUCCGAGAGAUUUCUUCGGUCAUGGGACUCAUACAUCAUCAACAAUAGCCGGCAGUCGUGUUCAAAAUGCUAAUUACUUCGGCUACGCUGAAGGGACUGCAAUUGGAGUUGCACCAAUGGCGAGGAUUGCAAUGUACAAAAUAGCGUUCUACAAUGAUACUCUUAAGGCAGCAGCUGUUGAUGUUUUGGCUGGCAUGGAUCAAGCCAUAGCUGACGGUGUAGAUGUCAUGUCAUUGUCCCUGGGCUUCCCAGAGACAACAUUUGAUGAGAAUCCAAUAGCCAUUGGAGCUUUUGCAGCAUUGAAGAAAGGAAUUUUUGUUGCCUGUUCAGCAGGAAAUUCAGGACCACGUCCAUACUCCAUAGAAAAUGGAGCUCCUUGGAUUACAACAGUUGGUGCAGGAACUGUUGAUAGAGAGUUCGCAGCCCGCGUCACCCUUGGCAAUGAAGAGCUAUCAGUUCUUGGAAAAUCUGUGUACCCGGAGAAUCUGUUUGUCUCCAGGGAACCUAUAUACUUCGGAUAUGGAAAUAGAUCCAAAGAAAUUUGUGAAGGUAACUCAACAGACCCUAGAGCAGUUGCAGGCAAAUAUAUCUUUUGUGCAUUUGACUAUAAAGGUAACAUAACCGUAAGUCAGCAAUUGGAGGAAGUGCGCAG
rnacentral:lncRNA from 1 species